AUGAAUCGCCAUUCAGCAUUUAAUUUACAUCACACAAAAGGAUAAAUAUAGAAUUAUCAUGGAAUAAGUAUAUCAACAUACAUGGACUACAAUAAAGCAUAAAAUUAAUAACAUACGAUCUAAAAAUAAAAUGAUAGACGACGUUAUUGUUCUUCUUGGUCACGUUGGUGCCAUUGAUUGAAUUUGUUUAACAAUUCAUUGAUUCGAUCUAAAAACGAAUCAUUGAUAUUAGCAGGCGUCUGACUAUUCUCAAAUCUCUGAGUAUUAGUGUUUUGUUGUGUUCCCAAUCUAAAAUCCCCGAAGAUUGUCAAUCCGUCAUGCUCACCUGCACUGUUGCUGUUGGGACUCGAUAUCUGAAUAAUAUGGCUGGGAUAGGGUGGCAUCAGAAUCAUCAUCUCUCUCAUUUUCUCUUUGAAUAAUAUGGAUUAAAAAAUAAUAAUAACAAAUUUUCAAAAAAAUCGAUCAUGGAUUAAAAAAAAAAAUCACAAAUUUUCAAAAAAUUCUAUCAUGGAUUACAAAAAAAAAUUCGAUCAUGGAUUACAAAAAAAAAUCACAAAUUUUCAAAAAAUUCAAUCAUGGAUUACAAAAAAUUCGAUCAUGGAUUACAUAAAAUUCAAUCAUGGAUUACAUACAAUUCGAUCAUGGAUUACAAAUAAAAAAAAAA
rnacentral:lncRNA from 1 species